GACGAACGCUGGCGGCGUGCCUAAUACAUGCAAGUAGGACGCACAGUCUAUACCGUAGCUUGCUACACCAUAGACUGCGAGUUGCGAACGGGUGAGUAACGCGUAGGUAACCUGCCUAUUAGAGGGGGAUAACUAUUGGAAACGAUAGCUAAUACCGCAUAACAGUAUGUAACACAUGUUAGAUGCUUGAAAGAUGCAAUUGCAUCGCUAGUAGAUGGACCUGCGUUGUAUUAGCUAGUAGGUAGGGUAAUGGCCUACCUAGGCGACGAUACAUAGCCGACCUGAGAGGGUGAUCGGCCACACUGGGACUGAGACACGGCCCAGACUCCUACGGGAGGCAGCAGUAGGGAAUCUUCGGCAAUGGGGGGAACCCUGACCGAGCAACGCCGCGUGAGUGAAGAAGGUUUUCGGAUCGUAAAGCUCUGUUGUUAAGGAAGAACGAGUGUGAGAAUGGAAAGUUCAUACUGUGACGGUACUUAACCAGAAAGGGACGGCUAACUACGUGCCAGCAGCCGCGGUAAUACGUAGGUCCCGAGCGUUGUCCGGAUUUAUUGGGCGUAAAGCGAGCGCAGGCGGUUAGAAAAGUCUGAAGUGAAAGGCAGUGGCUCAACCAUUGUAGGCUUUGGAAACUGUUUAACUUGAGUGCAGAAGGGGAGAGUGGAAUUCCAUGUGUAGCGGUGAAAUGCGUAGAUAUAUGGAGGAACACCGGUGGCGAAAGCGGCUCUCUGGUCUGUAACUGACGCUGAGGCUCGAAAGCGUGGGGAGCGAACAGG
rnacentral:rRNA from 1 species